rnacentral:rRNA from 1 species
GUGGGGAAUUUUGGACAAUGGGCGCAAGCCUGAUCCAGCAAUGCCGCGUGCAGGAAGAAGGCCUUCGGGUUGUAAACUGCUUUUGUACGGAACGAAACGGUCCGGGUUAAUACCCCGGGCUAAUGACGGUACCGUAAGAAUAAGCACCGGCUAACUACGUGCCAGCAGCCGCGGUAAUACGUAGGGUGCAAGCGUUAAUCGGAAUUACUGGGCGUAAAGCGUGCGCAGGCGGUUUUGUAAGACAGGCGUGAAAUCCCCGGGCUCAAACUGGGAAUUGCGCUUGUGACUGCAAGGCUGGAGUGCGGCAGAGGGGGAUGGAAUUCCGCGUGUAGCAGUGAAAUGCGUAGAUAUGCGGAGGAACACCGAUGGCGAAGGCAAUCCCCUGGGCCUGCACUGACGCUCAUGCACGAAAGCGUGGGGAGCAAACAGGAUUAGAUACCCGGGUAGUCC